rnacentral:tRNA from 2 species
GGCCAGGUAGCUCAGUCGGUAGAGCAGUGGACUGAAAAUCCUCGUGUCGGUGGUUCGAUUCCACCUCUGGCCACCA